UACAACUCCAUCCUCCACUCUUCUUUAAUCUCCACCCUCCACGGCUCUCACGCCUUCUUCAAUUCUGCCCGUUCCACUUACCACAUCCUCCUUUCCUACUCCCCUUUUUUCCGCAAGCCCAUCAAUCAUACUCUUUUCGGCCCCGACUCCAAUCUCGCCACUCUCAACCUCCUCUUUCGUUCAACUAGUUAUUGUUAUCAUUUUCCAUCAUUGUCCUGGAUCGCCUUCAUUUUUCAUCCCAUAAUAAUCAAAUUAAAUUGAAAGAAAAAAUCGAAUCAAUCGAAGGCGGGUGAUGUGCUUGAUUAAGUAGGUUCGGGUGAAGACAAAUGAGGGAGUGAGAGUCGAAGGUGGCAUGAUGGUGUAACUUGUUUAUUUUAGUUGAUUUUGUUAUUAUUUUUAGUUGAUUUUGGUUAAUUUUAUGUUAUUAAUACCAGCCCCGCUAGGACCCUCAA